rnacentral:rRNA from 1 species
GACGAACGCUGGCGGCGCGCCUAACACAUGCAAGUCGAACGAGCGAGAGAGAGCUUGCUUUCUCAAGUGAGUGCCGAACGGGUGAGUAACGCGUGUGGAACCUGCCUCAAUGAGGGGGACAACAGUUGGAAACGACUGCUAAUACCGCAUAAGCUCACGACCCGGCAUCGGGUAGAGGGAAAAGGAGCAAUCUGCUUUGAGAUGGCCUCGCGUCCGCUUAGCUAGUUGGUGAGGUAACGGCCCACCAAGGCGACGAUCGGUAGCCGGACUGAGAGGUUGAACGGACACAUUGGGACUGAGACACGGCCCAGACUCCUACGGGAGGCAGCAGUGGGGAAUAUUGCACAAUGGGGGAAACCAUGAUGCAGCGACGCCGGGUGGAGGAAGAAGGUCUUCGGAUUGAAAACUCCUGUUGUUGAGGAAGAUAAUGACGGUACUCAACAAGGAAGUGACGGCUAACUACGUG